CCUGGCCUUUCUUCAGUACCAAUUUACAUUUAUAAACUGCUUUGAAAACUUGCUUUUUGGGCAUUUUUAAGUUGUCAGUGACCACAGCAGAUCCACAUUUAAAUGGAGUUCAGUGGGGUUCAUCUUUUGCUAUAAACCCCAUCAUGUACUUCUGGGGAAUAACCUUCAAUUCUUGUGUGCUGGGAAGUGCACACCAAAUUCCCAAGCCUCUGUGCUUGGAAAAGCAGUUGUGUUUUAAAAACACGAGGUUCACUUUUUCUGUUGGUAUUAGAAAUAUGAGGAAGCAAGUCAACAUUACAGGUUUAAAAAUAGAAAGAAAAAAGUCUUAAUUGAGAGUUUGUAAGAUUCUCAGAUAUCUUUAUACUCCUCUGGUUCUAUAAAAAUGGGUGGGUGUGAGGUGGGCAGCAAGGAGCAUGUACAUGUGGCCUUUAGCAGAGGAAUCCAGUGAAAAUUAAUAAAAUAUCCAGUACCAUGUCUAAUAGUGCUGCUCUGUAGGUGGUUACAGACUAAAAGAGGAAAGGGGAGUUUGAGGGGACAUUCUCUCUCUUAAAAAUUAUUAAUUGUGUAGAUAUAAACCUUAAUAGAAGGAAGAUAGAGUGUGGUAGAUACAUGUAUAAAGAACUAGUUAGAUAAA